rnacentral:misc_RNA from 1 species
AGCAGCCGCGGUAAUUCCAGCUCCAAUAGCGUAUAUUAAAGUUGUUGCAGUUAAAAAGCUCGUAGUUGAAUUUCGGGAUUGACACAUCGGUCGUGCCUUAAGGGGUGUGAACUGGUGUAGUCAAUUUCUCACCUUCUGGAGAACCGCGAUGUCCUUAAUUGGGUGCCGCGAGGAACCAGGACCUUUACUUUGAAAAAAUUAGAGUGUUUAAAGCAGGCAUUUUUGCUUGAAUACAUUAGCAUGGAAUAAUAAAAUAGGACGGCAUGAUUCUAUUUUGUUGGUUUCUAGGAUCACCGUAAUGAUUAAUAGGGAUAGUUGGGGGCAUUAGUAUUCAAUUGUCAGAGGUGAAAUUCUUGGAUUUAUUGAAGACUAACUACUGCGAAAGCAUUUGCCAAGGAUGUUUUCAUUAAUCAAGAACGAAAGUUAGGGGAUCGAAGACGAUCAGAUACCGUCGUAGUCUUAACCAUAAACUAUGCCGACUAGGAAUCAGACGAUGUAAUUUUUUCAAUGACUCGUUUGG